CUAUACCUACGGGGCGCAGCAGUGGGGAAUAUUGCACAAUGGGGGAAACCCUGAUGCAGCGACGCCGCGUGAGUGAAGAAGUAUUUCGGUACGUAAAGCUCUAUCAGCAGGGAAGAUAAUGACGGUACCUGACUAAGAAGCUCCGGCUAAAUACGUGCCAGCAGCCGCGGUAAAACGUAUGGAGCAAGCGUUAUCCGGAUUUACUGGGUGUAAAGGGAGCGCAGACGGCAAGGCAAGUCUGAUGCGAAAGUCCGAGGCUCAACCUCGGGACUGCAUUGGAAACUGUCUGGCUAGAGUGCAGGAGG
rnacentral:rRNA from 1 species